AACUAGUUGAGAGCUGGGCCGCUCUCUUUAUGAGCCCAUGGUAGGGCGAAACCAGUU
rnacentral:hammerhead_ribozyme from 11 species